rnacentral:rRNA from 1 species
UACAGAGGUGGCAAGCGUUGUUCGGAAUUACUGGGCGUAAAGGGCGCGUAGGCGGUCUUCUAAGUUCCGUGUGAAAUCCCUCGGCUCAACUGGGGAACUGCACGGAAAACUGGAAGGCUUGAGUUCGGGAGAGGGAAGCGGAAUUCCGGGUGUAGCGGUGAAAUGCGUAGAUAUCCGGAGGAACACCGGUGGCGAAGGCGGCUUCCUGCACCGACACUGACGCUGAGGCGCGAAAGCUAGGGGAGCAAACGGG